rnacentral:rRNA from 1 species
AACGAACGCUGGCGGCAGGCCUAACACAUGCAAGUCGAGCGAGGACUUCGGUUCUAGCGGCGGACGGGUGAGUAACGCGUGGGAAUGUGCCCUUCUCUACGGAAUAGCCCUGGGAAACUGGGAGUAAUACCGUAUACGCCCUUUUGGGGAAAGAUUUAUCGGAGAAGGAUCAGCCCGCGUUGGAUUAGGUAGUUGGUGGGGUAAUGGCCUACUAAGCCGACGAUCCAUAGCUGGUUUGAGAGGAUGAUCAGCCACACUGGGACUGAGACACGGCCCAGACUCCUACGGGAGGCAGCAGUGGGGAAUCUUAGACAAUGGGGGCAACCCUGAUCGAGCCAUGCCGGGUGAGUGAUGAAGGCCUUAGGGUUGUAAAGCUCUUUCAGCUGGGAAGAUAAUGACGGUACCAGCAGAAGAAGCCCCGGCUAACUCCGUG